rnacentral:tRNA from 1 species
CCGACCUUAGCUCAGAUGGAAGAGCAAGGAGAACGUGUAGGGUUUUAAACACCCAACGCCUCCUUUGGUCGCUGGUUCAAUUCCAGCAGGUCGGA